rnacentral:lncRNA from 9 species
CUACAUUAUGUGGAACAAAUGAAACAUUCAAUUGUUCCAGGUUCAUUUGGCUGUGUUCAUUGAUAGAAGGAAAAUUUUGUCUGUUUCUUACUUUCUGCCAGAUAUGGUUUUAAGGGCUUUACGUGGAUCAAUACAUUUAUUUUUUAUAGGGUUGUCGCUAUGUGGUAGGUACUAUUAGUCAUUCUGUAGUUAAGAAAAUUGAGGAACACAGCCUUAAGUCACUUAGAGUCUACAGGUAAUAUGUGACAGAAAUCAACUAUAAACCCAGGUACUGUGGCUCUGUAGGCUGUGUCCUUAUCUACUGCAUUGUAUCACCUGUAAGUCUAAAAUUGUACUUUACGUAUUUUCUUUUAUCCAAGCUAUUUCUUAAAAAGAAGACAGAAGAUAGAAUUUUAUCAGAUUCAGAGAGCUGUGAUUCCACUCAGUCAAUGAAUCCUGAUACUGAAGGAGGCACAGAAAUGAUGGGAAAACUGAAAUCAACUGUCAGGAAGAUGCAAUUGAUCAGAAUCUGUUAAUAAACGAAGUCAACUGCUCUUCUUUCUGUUACAGGAUAUCAUCAUCAUCAUCAUCAUUUAACCUCUGAAGGAAAUGAGGGACAAUUUCCAUAUUUUCUAUUUCUUCAUCCCUAGUAAGUUGGCAGUUAGAGGUAGUAGGAUCUAAUCCAGAAAGGCUAGUCCAUAUCCCAUAAUCUUUAAAUUAUGUAAUUGAUCAUCCAAGCUUAUUCUCUUAAUUAGAAUUUGUCAUUUUGAAGUUCCCUGUUGGCCUAGUGGUUAAGGACUUGGCAUUGUCACUGCUGUGGUUGUCUCUGCUGUGGUCUGGAUUCAUUCCCUGACCCAGGAACUUCCAUGUGCCAUGGAUGGGAAAAAAAAAAAAAAUUGUCAUUUUAUGCUAAAUCUCAAUCUGAUACAACUUCCAACAAACAUAAAACUGCCCAAAAAUUUAUUUUAGGGCAGACAAAAAAAUAAAAGACUUAAAAACACCAAUAGUAGAAUAUAUAUCAAAAAGCCAAAAGAGAUAUUUUAAGUUUUGUUGACUUUAAUAUCAAAUUAGUUUUUAGGUUGUUUAAAAUGUUAUGGCAUAUCUGAGUUCCUCCUCUCCCUUAGAAGGGAAUCUUUUCUAUAAAAUUUUCUCUAGCCCUCUUUUUGCCACUGAUACAUCUUUCUCAAAAGAGUUCACCUCUUUUUGCAAAUAGUGACAUUAUUUCUUGAAUAAUAAUUACUCUGUGUGCUUCUUAACCUCAAAAUAUUAUCAAAAAUAACAUUCUGAGUAAGCAUUACCACACACUAUGAAAAAGAGAGAUAUCAUUUAAAAUCUUUGACAGCUUUUAAACUAAAUUCAACCUUUCAUAAUAUUUAUAAACUUUCCAAUUUUUUCAAUAUAUUUGUUUAGAAAGAUUAACACUUCAAAAAAUGAACAGGUAGAGCUUAGCACUAUUUUCCUACUCAUAAACAUCUGACCACUAAAAUAAAUAGAUAUCUGUAUUAUUGAGGCAGUAUUAAAUAGGAAAAAAAAAAAAAAAAAAAAGGCCCAUGAAAGCAUUUCCUUUUCCCUUACCUAAGAGGCACAUAGAUGUUUUCCACACAUUUCUAAUAAUGCUUGUGUACUCUUUUCCUUCAGCUUGAUUUUCAUGAAUUUCUUCCUAAAGAAAUGAGAGAAUAGGCAUAAAAGAAACAGUUUAAACAAAGAAUCAGCAUAGGGAAAGAUGAAAAAGCCAUGGAGAAAAAUCUGACAGGAACUGCUGUUAAAAAGUGUCUAAGCUGUCAGAGCUGACAGCGUUGAGAAUCCCUGUGGAGUGCUGUAUCCUCAGGAAUGUCUAAUAAAGGUGAUGCUGUUGGGCUUAUCAAAAUUGUUGGGCUUUUCCCUUGGCAGUAAGCCAAGUUAAUGCACCUUUUUACACUGUGUAUUAACUUUAUUUUACUAAAUUAUAAAUGGUAUUAUACAUAGGAAAUAAGGUAUACAGUGCCUGUGAACAGGGAGAAAAUACAAAUAAAAUAAAUACUAAGUUGCUCUUCACUCAGCUGAAAAAAUAGAAUAUGAUCGAUACCUUUGAAGUUAUUUAUAUUUACCAGACCCCCCUAAAGUAAUAUAGCAGGAAGAUAACUCUAGAAAAAGAGUUGUAGCAUUUGUCGAUCUAGCUCCAUCUAAUUCUAUUAUUUACUUAAAAAAUGUCAAGGUCAUAGGUUUGGAAUUGAAGUAAGUUAGUAUUAAUACAUCUUUAAAAGGUAUGACAAAACCUUUGCUAAAUGGAAGGUAAUAAUUCAAUAAACCACAAUAUGGAGGCUCUAAGUUAGCAUGGAGUAACUGUUCCAUUGGACCAUAAUUUGUAUAUGAAAUAUAACUCUUUCCUGAGCAAAAGAGAUACAAAUAUUAUAUCUGCAGGCCUAGCUCUGCUGACACCAUAUUUAGUAAAAGAAGGCAUUGAAGGUAACUUCCUUUAAUGUGAAGAGCAUGGACAACAUGCUCUGUGUCAGCUGUUUCCGUUGCACCUAUGCAUCUUUGUAUUGCCCAAACUCUAAAAUGGCUAUUCUGUGGAGCUAAGUAAAUGUUUCAACUCCGGAGAUUGUUUUGAGGUAUUGACAGAAGAAGGAAAAGUACAAAAAUUAAAGUUGUGGAUUCACUACUCUUUGUGCUAAGAAAAAGCCUACUCUAUGAAAAGCAGAUACUCUGCCCAAACUAUUAAGUAUAAUAUAAGAGUAUAGUGUUCUAGAGUCUAGAUAUAGAUGUACACAAACAAAAGAGAAGAUGAUGUGACGAUGGAGGCAAAGGUUGGAAUGAUGCAGCCACAAGACAAGGAUUGCCAGCAGAAGUUGAAAGAAGCAAGAACUCCUGCAGAGCCUCCAGAUUGAGGGCAGUUCUAGUGCACUCUGUUUUGGCCCACUGAUACUGAUUGUGGAAUUUGGCACUCCAAGGACUGUGAGGUAAUGUAUUUCUAUUGUUUUUAAGCUACCAAGUUUGUGGUAAUUGGUUACAGUAGCCACAAGAAACUAAAGCACUUUUUUUUUUUUUUUUUUUUUUUUUUUUGCUUCUCAUCACAUGCCAUCAAGGUAUGCUGUUUUUGAACAUUUCAAUACAUAAAAUGAGGAUUUUAAUACAUUUUUACCAUUUUAAUACCAAUUCACCUCUAGGCCUGAGGGAAACUCUCAAUUUAUAUAUACACUUGUCAUUAGUUAACACCUAACUAAAACGAUUUAAAUUUUCUUUGAUUUUAUAAAGCAAUCAAAAUUUGUGUAUUAAAGAUUUGAUUAUAAUAAAAUAAAAAUAAAAGACAAAGGGUACAUUUUCUUAAUAAAUAGUCACAGGUAUUCUAGAUUUUUGCUCUUCUGGCAUGGCAUCAUGUGUUGAUAUAAGGAAUUAG